GACGAACGCUGGCGGCGUGCUUAACACAUGCAAGUCGAGCGGUAAGGCCCUUUCGGGGGUACGACGAGCGGCGAACGAGUGAGUAACACGUGGGUGACCUGCCCUCAGCUCUGGGAUAAGCCUGGGAAACCGGGUCUAAUACUGGAUAUGACUCCAUGACGCAUGUUGUGGGGUGGAAAGCCUUGUGCGGCUGAGGAUGGGCCCGCGGCCUAUCAGCUUGUUGGUGGGGGAUGGCCUACCAAGGCGACGACGGUAGCCGGCCUGAGAGGGCGGACCGGCCACACUGGGACGUGAGACACGGCCCAGACUCCUACGGGAGGGCAGCAGUGGGGAA
rnacentral:rRNA from 1 species